AAGGGUUUAGCUCAGUGGUAGAGUGCAUGCUUGGUAUGCAUGAGGUCCUAGGUUCAACCCCCAGUACCUUCA
rnacentral:tRNA from 1 species